CUAUUGAUUGUAAUUAAAUUAAUUGUAGAAAAAAAUUGAUUAAUUGAACGCUGGAAAUAAUUAUUUUUGGGAUAAGAGAAAGGACAAUGAAACGUUGAUUUUUGAAUCAUCUUUAUUCACGCAAAACAAGAAUAGACUUAAAUAUUCGUGUCGAUAAUCAUACGCGUACACACACGUGUAACGUACACAUCGCUUAGGUACAUGAAGCGCGUGUACGCAUUUCUUGUAUGCAUAUACGUGCGAUAAGACAAUAUAAUAUACAUUAUAUAUCUAUAUAUAUCUAUAUAUAUAGAAUUGUACAAGAAUCAAAUUGGAUAGUAUACGCAUUCUUAGCCGUUUCACUUUUCGUUUCUACCUGCGCAUCUCGAAAGCGUAACAAUGGUAAUGCCGACGCAAAACACGAACAAGUUGAUAAACUAGAGAAGAGAAAAGAAAGGGGUCAAAGGAAAGGGGAACGAAGAAAGAGCAAAAGGUAAAAGGGUUUUGGCGGUUGUUCGGUUUCAAUCGAAAAAUGAUUCGCAUUCCUCGGCAAAGUGCUGGUGCGCAGCUGUAGAAACAAAAUGAAUACGCGUCGACAAGAAGAUUCUGGAACGGUGUCGGAAUGAGGUUCAAUACUGAUUUUGGAAUGCUCGUAAUUCCCUAAACUGGGAAUGCGUUAGAAUCUUAAAUAAUAUUCGAUAACAUUAAAAAAGGAAUCUCGAUAUCGGCCAGUUACUAACGAUUCCUGCAAGACAGUCAGAGAUCAUCCAUUGGAGCACGAAUAAUACACAAUGUUACGCGAUAAACGAUAGACGCCGCGUUCUAUCGCCGCAUAUUUUUUUUUUUUUCAUUUUUCAUUUUUCAUUUCUCUUACGACACGAUAGAAUCGCGUCGAAGAACAUUCGUCGAUAAGUUUUAUGACCGCUUUACGAUCGCCCUUCUCGAAACUAAAGAAUGUGAAGAAAUAAAUAAAUAUUACGCGUCUACUACAUACGGGUAACGUACUCCGUUCAUCGUUCGACUCACACUUACGAGCGUCAGUGUGCAUCGGUCGUUUCAUUGACACCGGAUCUGUCGCUCGUCCGUUCGAUUUCGUUUCUCUGUUUCUCCUUUCUCUAAACAUAUUUUGAAAUGAACACGGAGUUCGUCGUAGCGAUAUCGUGACAAAUUGUAACAACAAUAAGUAUACUAUAAACUAACAAUACAAUAUUAUAUAACGUAAUAUAAAAUAAUAUGAUAUAAUAGUUAACGAUAGUAAUGGUGCGAGGGGUUAGUGGAAGAAAGUGCAUAUGAAACGAUAGAAAGAAUUAGAUAAUUUAUAAUAAGCGAAUAAUUAUUGUGAUUCUGAUCAAAGUGUUCGAAUUUUGAAGUUGAAAUUUUCGACGCCAUGAUGAAGAUACGAAGAGAACGAAGUAAGUAGAGAGCCCAUCGACAGUAUCGAUAAUAUCGAUGUUCGAGAGAUAGCGGUAAGGGUUAGAAGUAGGAAUAGUAGAGUGUGCUAUAUAGUAGCACGAUAUUAAUGAUGGUGGCAAUUAGAGAAAUAUAAAUGAUGCUAAAAAAGUAGCCCGUGCGUGAUAAUCGCGAUUUUUCAAUGCCCUUUUCUUGCCAAUCGAGUUAACGAUUCUCCGAUCGGUAACACUCUACAUCGGAAUGAUAUUCGCGUCGCGUUGCAUAACCGUAGAUCUGACUGUCGCGCGUACGAAACGUAAGUCUCGUCCAGGAUCGUUCGUUUCCGCAAGUGUUUUUCCAAUGAAAAUUUCGGCAAAGGGGAAAAAGGAUAAAUAGAUGCGUCGUGUAUAAGUAACGGGAUACACGUGGAACGACAGCGACGAAUAAGAAGCAGAAAUUGCCUCGAGUACACGUGCCGUUGAAUUUCACUGGAACCAGUGGGUGCCAAAGGGUCGCGGAGGAACGUAAGCCACGUACUUACAAUUGCUGGCUGUGUCACAAUUUAGAGGAUUUAGAAAAAUUCGAAGACGAAUGAUGGUAAAAAGGGUAUCGAAGGAAAGACAAAUAAUUAAUGUAUUUUAUUUUAUUGAGAUGAUACUUAAUAACAUAAUCCAUUGUGUUCUGGUUCUAGGGAAAAAUUCGGAAGCAUCUUGACGUCAGCGCUAUCAGCGUCCUACCUAUUGACAGUUCGAUAUAUCGAGAAUCGCGGCUUACUUUUGACGUAUCUACACCGUUGGAGACUAUUCGAGUUGGUUAACGGUAAUGAAAAUAUGAAUUAAGAAUAUAGGGAGACGAUCGUGUACAUGGCGACGCUGUGGCGCCAAGCGUUGCAACAAAACACUGACCUUCUUUCAUCGACGGAAAAAUAACCAAGUCUAAAUUGAGCCAAUUGAUCGUCGAGGGGCGGAAUCGACAUUUCGUCAGUGCUGAACAAAUUUCUUACAACCAUCCAUUCCCUAUUUCAUCUUCUUUACUUUACUUCCUUCUUCCCUCUUUCUCCCUCACUCUAUCUCUGUUCCACCAUUUUUUUCCCAACUCCUUUCAAUCGAGCCUAAUGAGCCUCUAUUAUCAGCAACUAUAAAUUAAGUUGAAAAAUACUAGCCAAAUCAAGAUUCCACGCGACCUUCGACAUGCGCAACGUACACCCCUUCUGGGAAUUCACCGUAGAAAAGAAUUUGGUCAAUACUGUACCCGAAAUAUAUAAUUAACUCUAA